rnacentral:rRNA from 1 species
AUACGUAGGGUGCAAGCGUUAAUCGGAAUUACUGGGCGUAAAGCGUGCGCGGGCGGUUUUGUAAGACAGUGGUGAAAUCCCCGGGCUCAACCUGGGAACUGCCAUUGUGACUGCAAGGCUGGAGUGCGGCAGAGGGGGAUGGAAUUCCGCGUGUAGCAGUGAAAUGCGUAGAUAUGCGGAGGAACACCGAUGGCGAAGGCAAUCCCCUGGGCCUGCACUGACGCUCAUGCACGAAAGCGUGGGGAGCAAACAGGAUUAGAUACCCUGGUAGUCCACGCCCUAAACGAUGUCAACUGGUUGUUGGGGAUUUAUUUUCUCAGUAACGAAGCUAACGCGUGAAGUUGACCGCCUGGGGAGUACGGCCGCAAGAUUAAAACUCAAAGGAAUUGACGGGG